AUUGAACGCUGGCGGCAGGCCUAACACAUGCCAGUCGAGCGGAUGAAGGGAGCUUGCUCCUGGAUUCAGCGGCGGACGGGUGAGUAAUGCCUAGGAAUCUGCCGGGUAGUGGGGGAUAACGUCCGGAAACGGGCGCUAAUACCGCAUACGUCCUGAGGGAGAAAGUGGGGGAGCUUCGGACCUCACGCUAUCAGAUGAGCCUAGGUCGGAUUAGCUAGUUGGUGGGGUGAAGGCCUACCAAGGCGACGAUCCGUAACUGGUCUGAGAGGAUGAUCAGUCACACUGGAACUUAGACACGCUCCAGACUCCUGCGGGAGGCAGCAGUGGGGAAUAUUGGACAGUGGGCGAAAGCCUUAUCCAGCCAUGCCGCGUGUGUGAAGAAGGUCUUCCGAUUGUAAAGCACUUUAAGUUGGUAUGAAGGGCAGUCAGUUAAUACCUUGCUGUUUUGACGUUAACAACAGAAUAAGCACCGGCUAACUUCGUG
rnacentral:rRNA from 1 species